rnacentral:rRNA from 1 species
GUAGGUGGCAAGCGUUGUCCGGAAUUAUUGGGCGUAAAGCGCGCGCAGGCGGUCCUUUAAGUCUGAUGUGAAAGCCCACGGCUCAACCGUGGAGGGUCAUUGGAAACUGGGGGACUUGAGUACAGAAGAGGAAAGCGGAAUUCCAAGUGUAGCGGUGAAAUGCGUAGAGAUUUGGAGGAACACCAGUGGCGAAGGCGGCUUUCUGGUCUGUAACUGACGCUGAGGCGCGAAAGCGUGGGGAGCAAACAGGAUUAGAUACCCUGGUAGUCCACGCCGUAAACGAUGAGUGCUAAAUGUUAGGGGGUUUCCCGCCCCCCUUAGUGCUGCAGCUAACGCAUUAAGCACUCCGCCUGGGGAGUACGGCCGCAAGGCUG